rnacentral:rRNA from 1 species
UACGUAGGGUGCGAGCGUUAAUCGGAAUUACUGGGCGUAAAGCGUGCGCAGGCGGUGAGCUGUGUCCGAUGUGAAAGCCCCGGGCUUAACCUGGGAAUGGCAUUGGAAACUGGCUCGCUGGAGUGUGGCAGAGGGGGGUGGAAUUCCGCGUGUAGCAGUGAAAUGCGUAGAGAUGCGGAGGAACACCGAUGGCGAAGGCAGCCCCCUAGGCUAACACUGACGCUCAGGCACGAAAGCGUGGGGAGCAAACAGG